rnacentral:lncRNA from 1 species
GUAGUCCCAGCUACUUGGUAGGCUGAGGUAGGAGGAUUGAGGUGGAGGCUUCAAUGAGCUGUGAUUGCACCACUGCACCCCAGCCUUGGUGACAGAGCAAAGGAAAAAUAAAACUUAAAUUUUUUUCCAACAUACAUACCGAAGUAUUUAGAGAUGAAGUAUUUAUUUUGUCUGCAACUUACUUUCCAAAGUUGGCAACAAAAAAAAGUGUGUGCAUAAAAAAAAUAGAUACAUGGAGAAAGAGAGAGCAUGUAAACGAACAUGGCAAGAUGUUAACAAUUGGUGAAUCUCUAGGUUAUGUGGGUGCUCACUGCACUAUUCUUUUAAAUUUAUUUUUAUUUUUGUUGUUUUUCAGAGACAGGGUCUUGCUCUAUCACCCAGGCUAGAGUGUAGUGGCACCAAGAUAGCUCCCUGCAGCCUCAAACUCCUGGGCUCAAGUGACGCUCCCUUCUCAGCCUCCCAAGUAGCUGGGACUACACAGGUGUGCUCCACCACACCUGGUUAAUUAAAAAAAUUUUUUGUAGACACAGGGUCUCACUUUGUUGUCCAAGCUGGUCUUGAACUUCUGGAUUUUGGCGAUCCUCCUGCCUUGACUUCACAAAGUGCUCGGAUUACAGGUGUGAGCCACUGCACUUGCCAUUGCAUUACUUUUUAACUUUAUUAAAAUAAAGAGUUGGGGCCGGGGCCAGAUUUUCUAUUUUUCCUGGGACAAUUUUGGUCAUUUGUAUCUUUCUAGGAAUUUUUUUGUUGUUGUUUUGAGACAGAGUCUCACUCUGUCACCCAAGCUGGAGUGCAAUGGCAUGAUCUCAGCUCACUGCAACCUCUGCCUCCUGGGUUCAAGUGAUUUUCCUGCCUCAGCCUCGUGAAUAGCUGGGAUUACAGGUGUGAGCCACCACGCCUGGCUAAUUUUUGUGUUUUUAGUAGAGACAGGGUUUCACCACUUUGGCCAGGUUGGUCUCGAACUUCUGACCUCAGGUGAUCUGCCUGCCUCGGCCUCCCAAAGUGCCGCGAUUACAGGCGUGAGCCACCACACCCAGCCAAGAUGUCGCAUCUUUUUAAAUGUUGGCAUUUGCAGCUAUAAAUUUCCCUCAGAGCAGUUUUUGCCGCAUUCCUUAAGUUCUGGUAUGUUGUUUUCAUCCAUCUCUAUUUCCUAAUUUUUCUCGUGAUUUCUCCUUUGACCCUUUGGCUGUUAAAAAGUGUGUUCAAUUUCUAUGUAUGUGUGAAUUUUCAUUUUCCUUCUGGUAUGGAUUUCUGGUUUUAUUCCAUUGUGAUUGGAGAAGGUGGUUUGCAGGAUUCCGAUCUCUAAUUUACUGAGACUUGCUUUGUGCACUAACGUGUGGUCUGUCCUGGAGAACGUUCCCUGUGCACUUAGAAACGUGUGUUCUGCUGCUAUUGGGUGGAGCACUGUUAAGUCUGGUCAGCCUUUUGGUUUUUAUGUAAUACUUGGCACAUUCACAAGAAAAUGUGUGAAACAGAAAGUACGACAAAGUGAAACCCACGAAGCCACCACUGACCCUGAGGUUCAAAACCUCCAGCAUCUCUGCUCUUCCCUAAGCACAGCUCCGUCCCCUCCCCACGGGUGAGCACUGUGUUGUACUGACUCCCUGCCCUCCCUGAUGACUUUAGCACCUGGGUAUGAAUUCCACACAUAUUUGGUUUUGAGCUUUAUAAAAAUGGCAUCAUACUGUAUGAACUGUCUUGCUUUUUCAUCCCACGUUGUUUCUGAGAGGUGUUUGUGAUGGAGCACAGGGCCAC